rnacentral:misc_RNA from 1 species
UUUCCGUAGGUGAACCUGCGGAAGGAUCAUUCACAAUACGUGUUUUAUGGCCCUUUUUAAACAAUCCUUAUCCUCCUUUUGUGCAACGUUAUCAGACCCUCUAUCUUUAGCUCUUAGGUUACGGAAGAGGGAACCUCUCCAACUUACCAACAUCACCUUUAACUUAUUUGUCUAAACAUUUUUUAUCACGAGUUUACUUAAAUCGAUAAUACAACUUUCAACAACGGAUCUCUUGGCUCUC